UUCUUCAUUUCUCUCUUGUGUUUCUAUUCUGUUGUAGAUUCAUGCUGACUCACAUGUGACUUGUCUACCAGCACCAGAUGUGCAUGAUGCUCCCCCUGAAAGUCCUGACCCAAAUUCAACAAUUGGACAGGGCACUGGGUUCAUUACUAGAAUGGCCAGCUUGCUGUUUCCCUUCUCUGUUCUUCCGUAAGAGUCCUGCAAAUUAAAAAAUCCCAACCAUCAUUCCUUGACACAUACAGAGAAGAAUGAAAACGCUGCUUCAGUUUUAA